CUGUUCUUCGUUAUUCAUUCACAGGUUCAAUCCCUCGAAAAUUAAAGAAAAAGAGUUUGCAGUCACCUGUGGCCAGGAAAUUUGCUCAGCAAGAAUAGCAGUUGUCGCAGAUACGGAAAUAGAGAUGCAAAAGAUUAUUUCUGAGAAGAGGAUCAAGUUUGCACCAAGUCACGUUCUAAGAGCACAUUCUGAACUCUUUGAAACUCUGAAGAUACUAAAGAAGGAGAAAAGAGAAGUUCUUGAUCUGAAAAAAAAAAGAUUGUGAAAGCGAAAAUUGAUGUUACUGAUCUAAAGAAAAUGAAGACAAUAGAAGAGUCAAAUUUAGAGGAACACGAUGAAAACAGCUCUUCAUCUCAAACAUCAGAAGCACUGAAGUCAGAUGGUAAUUCAGAAACACAGUACAAUAAGUCGAAAUUCUAUUGCAACAGUAGCACCAUUUCCCCAAAAUAAGUCUUACAGAUUUAUUGAGUGGCGGGAUAUCAUGCGAAAAUGAGCAUUGUUUGGAGACACUUAGGGAACUCCAGAAAAAUAUUCUGAACUUAAAUUCAGAAAACAUAAUGUUAAAAGAGAAAAAUCUUUAACUACAAGACCGAUUUGUAAACCGAUUUGACCAAAUAAUGGAAAGGUUCCAGAACGUUCAAGAAGGUGCUAAGGACAAUCUGUCUAAAAAGAUAGAAACAGGAGAGUUUCUGCAUGUGGGAUACUGCGACGAAUUUGACCGUCUUCGCUUACAAAUGAAAAUAAACCCCAAAAUUUUCGUUGCAAAUAUGGCAUGCUUAAUCUUCACCGAAGCAGUCUUAAGACGCAGCAGUGUUACUGGGAUGGUCAGUAAUACGUGCAAAAAUAAAAGCCCGAAAAAAGCCUCACUUGAUCCAGUUUGAUCAGAUGCUGUCAUUAAAAUUACUUAGUAUUGAAUGAAGACAUUUAAGAAAUUUUCAGAGGAGGAUAUAGACAAGGUCUCUGCGGAAGCACCGGCAGUAAUCAGCAAAAAGAUUGCGAAAAUGAAUCGUCCUCCAGGAUCUAAUCGAAAAAGAAAAACGAAAAAAAAGGUUUAAAAAAAACAUAAAUCACGAGAAUUUGUCCCUUCAGACGAAAACUAUUCUUCAAGCGAAGAUGAGACAAAACAAUUAAAAAUAGUCGAAGAAGAUACGGAACAAAAUAUUAAUAAAGUUGCAUCAGAAGGUGAGGAUACCAAUGCUGUGUUAUUAGAAGACGAGACGGAUUUUGAAAUUGACGACGAUGACAAACUAACUGGUGCAAAUAAAGAGAAACCUGAUAUUGAAAAUGAAAACACCUAAGGAAAUCAAAAUCAGUGCGACUUU